rnacentral:misc_RNA from 1 species
AAGUCGUAACAAGGUUUCCGUAGUAUGUAUCCACUUGCCAUUGUUAUAACUGAAUUCAUAGCUAACCAUUAUUAGGGUGAACCUUCGGAAGGAUCAUUAUCGAGAACUGGGUCAGCUUUAGGGCUGGUCCAACCUCCAAACCUUUGUCUACAUACCUUUUUGCUUCGGCGGGCCGCGAGUCCCUCGCCAGGGCAUCUUGCCUUGCCGUGCCCGCCAGAAGACCAUUUAAAUUCUCUGUAUGAGUUGUCUAAAAAAAAUAUACAAUAUACAAAACUUUCAACAACGGAUCUCUUGGUUCCA